rnacentral:lncRNA from 1 species
CCCGGUCCAAAGUUCAGUAUCCGACAGAUAAUCCUUGCUUAGGCCUACGGACAAAUUCAGCAACACAAACCGGAAGAACAUUUCCCCUAAUCAAAUAUCAAAAGCUAGGUUCUUGAUUAUCCGUACGAUAAGGAUCCUGAUUUGUAUAUCAAUCAACCUGGCUCUGAUACCAAUUGUUAGGUCCAAAGUAUCGUAGAAGGGGGGGUUGAAUACGAUACUCACUACAAUUUAAAAUUCUUUCGAAUCUUGCGGAUAAAUAAAUUGCAGUCCUGUAAUGGGUUUCGUGUUCCGGAUAUUUAUUGGGUCGGUUUCUGAGGAUAUGAAAAUAUUAAACCAACACACAAUAUUUUCCAAGGUAUAUCUGUAUAUUGAUAAAUACCUCGAAGGUGCUACAAAUCCAAACCCGAAG